GGGAAAAUGCGACCUCUGUUGCUAGGAUGUGGAGUUGUUUGUUUCAAAAAGCACAUCAUUCACUGUAAUCCUUAAUCACUGUUGAGUGUGAAACUGCCAGAAGGACAGCUGUUUCUAUGAUGCUGAAACCACCAAGUCUGAUACCUUCAGAUAGUGAGCGGCAUCAAGACCCAUGCUGUCCACAGCCUCAGAAUCAGCUCCAUGCCUAAGCAGCAC